GACGAACGCUGGCGGCGUGCUUAACACAUGCAAGUCGAACGGAAAGGCCCUGCUUUUGUGGGGUGCUCGAGUGGCGAACGGGUGAGUAACACGUGAGUAACCUGCCCUUGACUUUGGGAUAACUUCAGGAAACUGGGGCUAAUACCGGAUAGGAGCUCCUGCUGCAUGGUGGGGGUUGGAAAGUUUCGGCGGUUGGGGAUGGACUCGCGGCUUAUCAGCUUGUUGGUGGGGUAGUGGCUUACCAAGGCUUUGACGGGUAGCCGGCCUGAGAGGGUGACCGGGCCACAUGGGGCCGGGGAAGGGGCCCGGACUCAUACGGGGGGAAGGGGGGGGAAAUUUUGCAAAAGGGGCGGAGUCCUGGAGGAAGAACGCCGGGGGGGGGAGGCCGGCUUUCGGGUUGAAACCCGUUUUCGCGUGUGACGGAGCGUGGGGGAGGGAAAUGGGAAAAAAACCACGGCUAACUUCGGG
rnacentral:rRNA from 1 species